rnacentral:rRNA from 1 species
AGUGAACGCUGGCGGUAGGCCUAACACAUGCAAGUCGAACGGCAGCACAGUAAGAGCUUGCUCUUACGGGUGGCGAGUGGCGGACGGGUGAGGAAUGCAUCGGAAUCUACUUUUUCGUGGGGGAUAACGUAGGGAAACUUACGCUAAUACCGCAUACGACCUACGGGUGAAAGCAGGGGAUCUUCGGACCUUGCGCGAUUGAAUGAGCCGAUGUCGGAUUAGCUAGUUGGCGGGGUAAAGGCCCACCAAGGCGACGAUCCGUAGCUGGUCUGAGAGGAUGAUCAGCCACACUGGAACUGAGACACGGUCCAGACUCCUACGGGAGGCAGCAGUGGGGAAUAUUGGCCAAUGGGCGCAAGCCUGAUCCAGCCAUACCGCGUGGGUGAAGAAGGCCUUCGGGUUGUAAAGCCCUUUUGUUGGGAAAGAAAAGCAGCAGGUUAAUACCCCGCUGUUCUGACGGUACCCAAAGAAUAAGCACCGGCUAACUUCGUG